ACAACUGAGCCACCCAGGGAUCCCCUCUGUUUGUCAUUCUUAAAUAUUCCUUUCCUAUCUUAUUAGACAAAGUAGAUAAAUAUUCGCUAUGAAAUUUACAUAUUUAUUUUUCACCUAAGCCUCUUGUUGGUCUGGAAAUAAUUUUGCUCUGAGAGAUGACUCAUUUUAUUUUAGCUGCUUUUUUCCAAAUGAAGAGCUGGUCCUAAUGCAAUUUUUAUUAAUUUGCUGAUUAUAGAUGCCAUCUUUACCUGUAGUUAUACCUAAGUGUAUAUACAUUCUGUUUCAUGUAUCCAUCUCUUUCUCCCUAGAUGAUUUAUUCUUCUAAAUGAAAUAAAGGGCUGCUUUGUCAGUCUCCUCAAAAACUAUAAUUAUAACAAUUUAUAACAGCUGAAGAUGUUUAAGAACUUCUCACCAAAGCACAUCACUUGGAAAACACAGCUCAUGUAAGCUUGCUUAUAACAGAUUCUGAAGAUUAACUUCAAAAUCCUUAGAAGAAGAGAACAAACGCUCGGUUAGGGUGAAGAAUGUUGGGUAUACAAAAUAAAGGUCCAUUCCUCAUUUGUUGAAAUCAGCUCUUCAUCCAAGAAGAGCCCUAUGAGAAACAAAGACUUCAGUUUUGAAGAUCAAGACUUGGGUAACAGAAAAGGCACAAGAACAUAUUUAAAGCAUGAAGGGCAUUAACCCAAUAAGUCAACUGAAUUGCAUGGAAAAUUGAUCUUAUAUUUUCUUAAAUAAAUGGAAAAUCUGAUAGUUAAAAGGGCUC